UUUUAUGAGGGAGCUUAGAAUUGCAUGCACAGUUGUUCAAAUGGAACGUGAAGGGGCAUCGGUCCUCGAGUGUCCCCUUUAGGGCAAUUUUCAAGGUCCAUGAUGCAGAAAACCUUUUGACAAGGGCAGGCUUCACCCCUCCAGGAGUUGAUGUUGAUCAUUAUACCGUUAGAUACAAUAAUGGUUUGUAGAAAAAGAAAGCUUCAGUUUCUUACUCGUAGGACACUGACUAUUUCCUGUGAUGCGAAAGUGAUGUGGGGUUCAAGCAUCAAGCAACAAUCUGUAUUAUGGGAGGAAACUGAUCCUUUUGUAUUCAUUUUGUUCUCCUUCA